CGCGGGGUGGAGCAGCCCGGUAGCUCGUCAGGCUCAUAACCUGAAGGUCGGUGGUUCAAAUCCACCCCCCGCAACCA
rnacentral:tRNA from 1 species